UACAGAGGGUGCAAGCGUUAAUCGGAUUUACUGGGCGUAAAGGGCGCGUAGGCGGAUGGAUAAGUCAGUCGUGAAAUACCUGGGCUUAACCGAGGGAUUGCGAUUGAGACUGUUGAUCUAGAGUGCAGUAGAGGGAAGUGGAAUUUCCAGUGUAGCGGUGAAAUGCGUAGAUAUUGGAAAGAACACCAGUGGCGAAGGCGACUUCCUGGACUGACACUGACGCUGAGGCGCGAGAGCAUGGGGAGCGAACAGG
rnacentral:rRNA from 1 species